rnacentral:lncRNA from 1 species
GUGGUUGUGUUUUGGCGCCUCUGUGCCUCCUGAUGUUGCCUGGUUAGGUUUGGUAGUGUAGUUUAGGUGUUGUGUUGUGGUUGUGUUUUGGUGACAGUUGCGUUUUCCCGCGGAGCAGUUUGACCCCCCCCCCAGUCUGAAAACCCCGCAAGUCCCUUCAGCUUCCCACCGACCAAUCAGAGGCCGCGCUGUCUGCGCGGGAAGUGACGUACACAGCUGCGCGCCAAUCUGCGCUUCUGAUACGGAUAGAAAACACGGAAGUACCUCCCUCCGCCUCCGAGUCCCAAAACCGUCCGGAGCGCGCGUGAAGAAGACCCGUGCGGACCCGUCUGUCCGUGCUCCAGCAGCAGCAACAUGGACACAGAUUUGUUUAUGGAGUGUGAGGAGGAGGAGCUGGAGCCAUGGCAACAGGUGGACGACAGAGUGGAGGAAGACGAGAUGGACUUCAUGGACGGCUACGGAGAGACGGCGGACCAUUCUCCGUCUCCGCUUUCAGACUCUGAGACUCCGCCCCCCAGGACUCCUCCACCAAUCACAGCUCCACCAAUCACAGCUCCACCAAUCACAGCUCCACCAAUCACAGCUCCACCAAUCACAGCUCCAACAGGUGUGUGUGUGUGUGUGUGUGUGUGUCUGUUAGGCCUGCACGAUAUUGGAUAAAACUUACAUUGCGAUAUUUUUUUCCCUG